rnacentral:rRNA from 1 species
UACGGAGGGAGCUAGCGUUGUUCGGAAUUACUGGGCGUAAAGCGCACGUAGGCGGCUUUGUAAGUUAGAGGUGAAAGCCCGGGGCUCAACCCCGGAAUUGCCUUUAAGACUGCAUCGCUUGAAUCCGGGAGAGGUGAGUGGAACUGCGAGUGUAGAGGUGAAAUUCGUAGAUAUUCGCAAGAACACCAGUGGCGAAGGCGGCUCACUGGCCCGGAACUGACGCUGAGGCACGAAAGCGUGGGUAGCAAACAGGG